GGAGAUGGGGAGCCAGACAACAGAGGAGGGGGGGUCUGGUACGGGGAGGCCUCUAGACCUGCUAUCGGACCAGACUGGGGUCAGGGGCGAGCCGCACCUGGCCAUUCAGGGAAACUGCCACCCUCAGCUCCAUCUGCCCCAGAUUUUUCUCAAAAGUGUGUAUUCAAUUCGAUGAGACGUGAACUCAGAGAGAGCGGGCCAACUGUAUGCAGCUUUGACCUGGACGCAGACGAACUCAGAGCAGGAAAAACAGCGUGGGCUGAGCAGAAUUCCUACCACUUGCAAUCCUGAAUCUUGCCUAGACGAAGACAGAAACUUCCAGAGCCGUACUGCGUGGAAACCUGGUAUCAGGAUUGCCCACUGCAGGAAACCUCACACCGCCAUCCAGUGCCUACAGGAGCUGGGACACAGUGGAGUUGCUUCAGCUGCACCUCCCGGAACUUGUUGAACAAGCAAAUCCUCCAGCCUCAGCUCCAGCCAGCCAGAUCAGAAGUCCUGGAGGUGGCCCUGCAGUUUUCAAAAGCCCUCGAGGGAAUGGAUGUGGGAAACUUCUACCUUUCAAAGACCGGAAGGGGGCACCAGAUCUCCUUACCUGAUUGUUAUAAGGCACCAUGAUGUGGUUGCUGGGAAUUGAACUCUGGACUUCUGAAAAGAGCAACAGGGUCUUUCUCUAGCUGAACCUGGCAACCAUUCUUUCAGCUAGACUGACUGGUCUGCCAGCAUCUCAGGUCCUUCCAUCU
rnacentral:lncRNA from 1 species